GACGAACGCUGGCGGCGUGCUUAACACAUGCAAGUCGAACGGAAAGGCCCUGCUUGCAGGGUACUCGAGUGGCGAACGGGUGAGUAACACGUGGGUGAUCUGCCCUGCACUUCGGGAUAAGCUUGGGAAACUGGGUCUAAUACCGGAUAGGAGCCAUCUUUAGUGUGGUGGUUGGAAAGUUUUUUCGGUGUAGGAUGAGCUCGCGGCCUAUCAGCUUGUUGGUGGGGUAAUGGCCUACCAAGGCGGCGACGGGUAGCCGGCCUGAGAGGGUGUACGGCCACAUUGGGACUGAGAUACGGCCCAGACUCCUACGGGAGGCAGCAGUGGGGAAUAUUGCACAAUGGGCGCAAGCCUGAUGCAGCGACGCCGCGUGGGGGAUGAAGGCCUUCGGGUUGUAGACUCCUUUCGCUAGGGACGAAGCUUUUUUGUGACGGUACCUAGAUAAGAAGCACCGGCUAACUACGUG
rnacentral:rRNA from 1 species